rnacentral:misc_RNA from 1 species
CAUUGUCGUGACCCUGACCAAAAUAGACCGUGAACGCGUAAUCCAGCCCGCCGUCGGCGACUCACCUCGUCGUUCGGCCAAGUCCUCGACAACCUCCUCUCCUCGGAGCGGGGGCUCGGGGUAAAAGAACCCACGGCGCCUAAGGCGUCAAGGAACACUGUGCCUAACUCGGGGACGCGGCUGGCUUGCUGGUCGCCCCCCGUGUUGCAAAGCUAUAUAAUCCACACGACUCUCGGCAACGGAUAUCUCGGCUCUCGCAUCGAUGAAGAACGUAGGGAAAUGCGAUACCUGGUGUGAAUUGCAGAAUCCCGCGAACCAUCGAGUCUUUGAACGCAAGUUGCGCCCGAGGCCAUUCGGCCGAGGGCACGCCUGCCUGGGCGUCACGCCAAACA